rnacentral:rRNA from 1 species
AACGAACGCUGGCGGCAGGCUUAACACAUGCCAGUCGAGCGCAUCCUUCGGGGUGAGCGGCGGACGGGUGAGUAACGCGUGGGAACGUGCCCUCUUCUACGGAAUAGCCUCGGGAAACUGAGAAUAAUGCCGUAUACGCCCGCAAGGGGAAAGAUUUAUCGGAGGAGGAUCGGCCCGCGUUGGAUUAGGUAGUUGGUGGGGUAACGGCCUACCAAGCCGACGAUCCAUAGCUGGUUUGAGAGGAUGAUCAGCCACACUGGGACUGAGACACGGCCCAGACUCCUACGGGAGGCAGCAGUGGGGAAUCUUGGACAAUGGGGGCAACCCUGAUCCAGCCAUGCCGCGUGAGCGAUGAAGGCCUUAGGGUUGUAAAGAUCUUUCAGCUGGGAAGAUAAUGACGGUACCAGCAGAAGAAGCCCCGGCUAACUCCGUG